UUAGUGAAAUCGAGUAGGACGGGACACGUGAUAUCCUGUUUGAACAUGGGGGGACCAUCCUCCAAGGCUAAAUACUCCUGACUGACCGAUAGUGAACCAGUACCGUGAGGGAAAGGCGAAAAGAACCCCUGUGAGGGGAGUGAAAUAGAACCUGAAACCGUGUACGUACAAGCAGUAGGAGCCCACUUGUUGGGUGACUGCGUACCUUUUGUAUAAUGGGUCAGCGACUUAAUUUUAGUAGCAAGGUUAACCGUUUAGGGGAGCCGUAGGGAAACCGAGUCUUAACUGGGCGUCAUAGUUGCUAGGAUUAGACCCGAAACCGAGUGAUCUAGCCAUGGGCAGGUUGAAGGUGAGGUAACACUUACUGGAGGACCGAACCGACUAAUGUUGAAAAAUUAGCGGAUGACUUGUGGCUAGGGGUGAAAGGCCAAUCAAACUCGGAGAUAGCUGGUUCUCCCCGAAAGCUAUUUAGGUAGCGCCUCGGACGAAUACUACUGGGGGUAGAGCACUGUUAAGGCUAGGGGGUCAUCCCGACUUACCAACC
rnacentral:rRNA from 1 species